UUUACCUAAAGGCUACAAUCACCUGGGGCUGCUAAGCGGCUUAAGCAAGGAAGGAGUCGCUCAGGUUGCCUAAGCUAAGUGUAACAUCUACCAUCACAUUAAACAUACUCAAGACCUCCUCAUCAGUACAAGAGCUAAUAGAGUUUGUGUUCUUUCUCUCCCUUAGACUUGACCAUCAAUAUAAGCUUCUAGUUCUGACUGGGGGGAAAGGAAACAAAGAAAAAAGACAACCAAGGCUGGUGCACAAAGGAGCAAGUUACCGUGUCUAGUUCAGCUUCCAAACUGCAGUUUUUAAUCUGUGGCAAUAAUUCCGCAUACUGGCUUUGAUCUGUUGUUAUACUACUGUGCAUACCUGAAAACAAUUGACAUCAGGAAAAAAGAAAAGGAUUUCUGCUUGUUCAAUCUUUUCACCAGUAUUUUCUACCACCAGACUGAAGGUGGCAUGUCAGGAAUGACCCGUGAGUACAGAUCAGAGCACCUGCAUCUCUAUCUACUUCAACUGAGCCUGCAAUCUGAUACUCAGAUUUGUGCCUACAACUGAAAGGUGGGCAAAACUAUUGAUUGGACAUACGUUUUUAGGUUGUAAAUUGUAUCUGCAAAAAGGAUGUCUCCAAAAUUUGGCGCUCAGUAUUUGUGCUUUCCAAAGUUCUUGUUUGUCUGCUAUCUUGAUAAUCUGUUUGGAUAUUUCCUGGGAUGAUGUACUAUGAGAGUGGUACACUCUCCUUGACACUGGAGAGUCUGUGGAAUUUCCAGCUAUUGUAUAACCUUUUUUCAAGCAGUGAUAGUUGUACUAUGCCUUUGUGUCAUAGGGAGAUGGUGGGAUUUUCCUUCUCAUGCUUACUCUUUUAUAAUAGAGGGUGGGGGGCAAGCCAGAGGAUUUCUUUGAAUGAAAAUGUGGCUGUCCCCAAAUGAUUUUCAUUUCAUUUUCAUUUAAUCUCAUCUCAGAAGUAAGCCUUUUAUUGAGAACUCCUGUUUUAAUUUUUGAUGGGGGGAAAAGGACUGGAAAGUGUCUCUUUCUGAACCAUUUUUUCUAUCUCCUUCCUCUGAAGCAUCAGGAAAUGGCCCAAGCUGAAGACAGGACAUUGG